rnacentral:rRNA from 1 species
GAUGAACGCUGGCGGCGUGCCUAAUACAUGCAAGUCGAGCGAACAGAUGAGGAUCUUGCUCCUCUGACGUUAGCGGCGGACGGGUGAGUAACACGUGUAUAACCUACCUAUAAGACUGGGAUAACUUCGGGAAACCGGAGCUAAUACCGGAUAAUAUAUUGAACCGCAUGGUUCAAUAGUGAAAUACGGUUUUGCUGUCACUUAUAGAUGGAUCCGCGCCGCAUUAGCUAGUUGGUAAGGUAACGGCUUACCAAGGCAACGAUGCGUAGCCGACCUGAGAGGGGGGUCGGCCACACUGGAACUGAGACACGGUCCAGACUCCUACGGGAGGCAGCAGUAGGGAAUCUUCCGCAAUGGGCGAAAGCCUGACGGAGCAACGCCGAGUGAGUGAUGAAGGUCUUCGGAUCGUAAAACUCUGUUAUUAGGGAAGAACAAAUGUGUAAGUAAAUAUGCACGUCUUGACGGUACCUAAUCAGAAAGCCACGGCUAACUACGUG